ensembl:lncRNA
CAGGAAUGGAAGAGAGGUGUGAUGAAUUCAAAGAAACAAGAGGAAACCCAUGUCGACACCAGGAAAACAUGCACAGAAACUCUGCACAGACAGCAACCCGAGUUCAGGAUCGAACCCAGAAACCUGGAAUUACAGCCUUUCUUUAGGUCUGUGCAGAAAGAAAGCUAUUUACAGAAAAGAGCUCCAAGCUCAUAAAGGACAGUGUAAACAUCACUGCGUGCCAUUCUAAGAAAUCUUUCAGAUGGUGGUACUCAUGGUUGGCCACCUGAUCUUGUUGAUGGGAGAAGAUGGAAAAUUCUCG